rnacentral:rRNA from 1 species
GUCCAUGCCGUAAACGAUGGGCAUUAGGUGUGGGAGGUGUCGACUCCUCCCGCGCCGUCGCUAACGCAUUAAAUGCCCCGCCUGGGGAGUACGGCCGCAAGGCUAAAACUCAAAGGAAUUGACGGGGGCCCGCACAAGCAGCGGAGCAUGUGGUUUAAUUCGACGCAACGCGAAGAACCUUACCUGGGCUUGACAUGUCGGUGACCGGUGUGGAAACACACCUUUCCUUCGGGACACCGUCACAGGUGGUGCAUGGCUGUCGU